UGGUUAAAAAGCUCGUAGUUGGAUCUCAACAGCCUUGAAGCGGUUAACUUUGUAGUUUUACUGCUUUAUAGGCUGUGCUUUUGCUGGAGGUUUAGGGGUGCUCUUGAUCGAGUGUCUCUGGAUGCCAGCAGGUUUACUUUGAAAAAAUUAGAGUGCUCAAAGCAGGCUAAAAUGCCUGAAUAUUCGUGCAUGGAAUAAUAGAAUAGGAUGUCGAUCCUAUUUUGUUGGUUUUCGGGACUCGACAUAAUGAUAAAUAGGGACAGUCGGGGGCAUUUGUAUUCAAACGACAGAGGUGAAAUUCUUGGACCGUUUGAAGACAAACUACUGCGAAAGCAUUUGCCAAGAAUGUUUCCAUUAAUCAAGAACGAAAGUUAGAGGUUCGAAGGCGAUUAGAUACCGCCCUAGUUCUAACCAUAAACGAUGCCAGCUAGCGAUCUGCCUGCGUUUUUACUGUAGACUGGGCAGGAAGCUUCCGGGAAACCAAAGCAUUUGGGUUCCAGGGGGAAGUAUGGUUGCAAAGUUGAAACUUAAAGGAAUUGA
rnacentral:rRNA from 1 species